GAUGAACGCUGGCGGCGUGCCUAACACAUGCAAGUCGAGCGAACAGACGAGGAGCUUGCUCCUUUGACGUUAGCGGCGGACGGGUGAGUAACACGUGGGUAAACUAACUAUAAGACUGGGAUAACUUCGGGAAAUCGUAGCUAAUACCGGAUAAUAUUUCGAACCGCAUGGGUCGAUAGUUAAAGAUGGCAUUGCUAUCACUUAAAGAUUGACCUGCGCCGUAUUAGUUAGUUGGUAAGGUGACUGCUUACCAAGGCAACGAUACGUACCCGACCCGAACGCGUGAUCGGAUACACGGGAACUGAGACACGGUCCAGACUCCGACGGGAGGAAGCAGUCCGGAAUCUUCCGCAAUGGGGGAAUGCCUGACGGAGCAACGCCGCGUGAGUGAUGAUGGUCUUCGGAUCGUAAAGCGAUGUUGUUAGGAAAGAAGUAACGUGUAAGUAACUGUGCACGUCUUGACGGUACCGAAUCAGAAAGCCACGGCUAACUCCGUG
rnacentral:rRNA from 1 species